UCCCUGAUUGUCUAGUGGUUAGGAUCUGGUACUUUCACUGCCAUGGACAGGGUUCAAUCCCUGGUCAGGGAA
rfam:Ovis aries breed Texel chromosome 3, whole genome shotgun sequence.